GUUGAACGCUGGCGGCAGGCCUAACACAUGCAAGUCGAACGAGAGGAGGACGGGUGAGUAAUGUCUGGGACACUGCGUGAUGGAGGGGGAUAACUACUGGAAACGGUAGCUAAUACCGCAUACCAUCGGAUGUGCCGAGAUGGGAUUAGCUAGGCGGUGGGGUAAAGGCGCACCUAGGCGACGAUCCCUAGCUGGUCUGCGAGGAUGACCAGCCACACUGGAACGGAGACACGGCCCAGACUCCUACGGUAGGCAGCAGUGGGGAAUAUUGUACAAUGGGCGCAAGUCUGAUCCAGCCAUGCCGCGUGUGUGAAGAAGGCCUUCGGAUUGUAAAGCACUGUCAGUGGGGAGGCGUUACCCGCAGAAGAAGCACCGGCUAACUCCGUGCCAGCAGCCGCGGUAAUAC
rnacentral:rRNA from 1 species